AGACAUGCAACUAUCAUUAUGCUGAGUAACUAAAUAAACAUACAAACCAUAGGUCACAGGGUGAGUGGGAGGGUACUGAUCAGAUACACACACAAGGUCUGCUCGACUUUAGAUAAAUCCACUCAAUUGUGAAUUUACUUUGGACAGAAAUAAAAUAUCAAGUAAAGCAUGUCCAUGUUUUAUAAGCGGUGCAUGGAUGCUCUCAUAUUUAGGAUCUUCAUCAUUUUCUAAGUGAGCCUAAACCCUUUCAUGAAUGUCAUUAAUGAGUAAUCAAAGAACCCUGGGGAGACUCACCACUUGGUUUAAACACUCCUUGUAUCCUGAUAAAGGGAUCCCUCCUCUAUGAGGGGCCAUUUAGGACUUAACUAUUGAGACACUCUUGCGCACACUACUGAGACACUUACACAUACAUAGGGUUGCAAAGGGGCGGAAAGUUUCCUGUAAAAUUUCCACGGGAAUUUUGGUUUGGGAAUUUUGAGUGCCUUUCGGGGGGCAUCAAAAAGUAGUAGAGUAGGGAAACUUAUACUACAGCAGGGCUAUUGAGACCAUACUACACCAUGGCUGUGAAGUGGACGCGGGGGAAGGGGGGUGCGGACAAUACGGCUGACAGAGGAGUAACCAUCGCGGCUCGGAUUAUUUUUGGCACGUUCACACCAAACGCGUCGCCAGCGUUUUGCGCCACAGGAUUACAUACAAAGUCUAUGCACAGACCCAAUGACGUAUUGUUAAAUGACACACUGGUAUAGUACAUGUUAAGUAACAUAUAUGACGUUUGCUCAAUGAUAACGUGUGUGUGUGGCUCUUAAAAGAGCCAUUUGGUUGUGCUUGAGCAUAUGCUGUUUCUCCACGGGACAGUUCCCUUGGCAUGGAGGUAUGACGUGAAGUCCGGUGCCCAAUCAGAGCCAACGAGCUAACGAACGGGCUGACCACAAAUGUUCCCAGAGAGUCCUGCGGCGCGUUUAGAGCGUCUGGUUGCUGUUUGGGAGUCAGAUGUUGAGGAGGUAACAGUAAGGAGGGUAAGGAGGACGUUAAUGAGGUCCAUGAAGGAAACAUUUAGAGAAAAAAUGUUUUUGUUGUUUGAUUAAAGAAUAAAAAGUUUUACUCACAAAAUAUCAAAAAAGUCCAAAAUGUAAUUUUGAAAAAUAUUAGAAAUGUUUGCAUGCUUUUCUGCUCAUGACAAGAUAAAUACAGGUAAAUUACCACAGAAUUUCUAGUUUAAUCCCGUAAAUUCCUGUGGAAAGCUUCCAACUUUGAAUAUUCCCGGAAUUUUGCAAACCUACACAUACAUACUCAUCCGUAUGCUAGUAAGAUUUCAUGUAUACACACUAGUGAGAUGCUCUUACGCACACUAGUGAGAUAUGUAUAUGACACAGCAGUACACUCUUAAGAAAGUGUGUUGUUUUUGUGACACAAUAAAUGUGUAAAAUUUACACAUUUAUUGUGUCACAAAAACAACACACUGAUUUACACUGUAAAUCAUAAAAUAACACAUUUUGCGAUGGUUUCUGCAAAUGUGUUGCAAGUGAAAAUGUUGACUUGGCCCCGAAGCAUAAGGUUAAUAACUGUAGUGAUUGCUAUGUAAGUUAACAUUAACAUGUGAAGUUUAAGCUAACAGUCAAUGUUAGCUAGCUCUGACUACAGGGGUAAAGUUUUAGUAUUCAACGUAUACUUCUCUUGCAGGGCAGGCUAACUUAACACUUUGGUCUCAAGUUAUUUUACGUUAGAAAAGUCAAUUUGGGCCGAUAUGAAGCACUGUAGCGGAUAUGGCUUUCUAUUAAUGUGCUGGAAAUGAUACCAAAAAUGUUUAGCUUUGAUAGCCAACGUAGCUAAUAUUAGUGAAUAUAGCUAGCUAGCUAGUUAAGGAGGUUAUGUGCUCCGGGAACUAGCAAAACCUCGUCAAAAAAAGCCAUCAUGAAGAAUAAAUCCUUUUGAUAUAAAGUUGACUAGUAUUUUAAUCGGUUACGUUUAUCCGUGUGGAAUAAACGUCACAUUUGAUUUUUGAGCGGUUGAUAUUGAAAUUGAAAAUCGCGCCAUGCCUUUCUUGUUUGGCUGGCUUGUCUGUUAGCCGUUAUGGCGCUUUUUUUUAUACCAUGCUAGAAUAAUUUAGGUUUCUCAAGUACAAUAAUGACUUCCAAGACUACGUUGACUGCGACACAAGUACAGAUGUUAAGGACUACAAGUUCCAAGUAUGGGUCGCGACAGUGGUCCAGCUGGAGUUUAUUGAGUUUCAAAGACCACAUGUGGAAAACGAAAAGGUGACCAUUUUCAGUGACUUCCAUACUUUUUUUUUUUUUUUUUAACACUAGCAAACUAGCUGACAUAAUCCACUUGUUUGUUCUUGUGUUUUGUAGAAUGACCUGGCUGCACAGCUAAAAUCUCUUCUAGAAACAAAGGCUCCAGACAUACUGGCUGAACAUCAACAUACAGGCACACAAUCCACCAACAGCAGAAAGAAACUUGUCAAAUUAAGUGUCUGAUCUUGUUGAGAAAGAUGGAUUUUACCCCUCUCGGAGAAACUGCAUUUGGCUAAAUCAUUAACUACACUCUUCCCAUCACUGAAUGUGACAGUGUCUGGAAAGGGAACAUUUAUAUGAUCCUGUAUCACAUAAAGGCUUCAAAGAAAUGAAGUUACGAAAUAUCAGACGGAAUCUGGAGGAGAGCCAGCGGCGCUACCAGAAGAGAAGGAUGUCUUGCGGAGCAGCAACAGCAGCUCAGCCUUCAGGAGGACGAAGACCCAAGCGAGUGGUUGACGGUCAUUACAAGAAUGAAGCCAUCACCUGAGAAUAUGAGCCCAAUUAAGACAGCAAUGGACAAGACAUCCCAAGCCUGCUAGAUGUGGAGUUUGGAAGAUUGUUCGAUGGGAAGGCAGAGAUGUUCAUAAGGAGGUGGGAGUCGUCCAUUAUCCCAAAACUGAAGCAGAUUGCGAUUUUGGAGAAGGGUGGAGUGUCCUCCUUGUUGGAUAAAACUGGAAACCAGAAUGAUGCACGGGACCAACAUCCCCUCCCUUUGUGAUGUUGAUGAUAGAUCCUCGAGGCCCCCCUCAGCGGAGCCAUCAGCCACAGUUAGUGUGCAUCGGCCAUUUGUCCAGCCAAGCCAGUUUGUCAUUGUUGACAAACCUCAUUUUCCUGCCGUGUGCCUUAUGAAAAGAAAAGUGACAAGUGGUGUACUAUAACGAAAGCGGUGUCCUAUGACAUUGCUAAAGAUAUGGUCCCUGUUGCAACUGUUGAACAAGUCGAUUCAAAAUGCUCCUGAAAACGAUUGAGCCGAGAUAUGAGCUUCCCAGUCGCGACUACUUUGCAGUUGGCAAGUGUGGAGAGUGACACUAAUCCCCUCAAGUGGUGGAAGGAUCAUGAAGUUGUCUUUCCAGGUCUGAGCAGCCUGGCAAAAAAAUACCUCUUCGUUCCAGCUACCAGUUCACCUUGUGAAAGGGUUUUCAGCUGCAGUGGCAAUAUCGUCACCUGCCACAGAGCAUCUCUGAAGCCGGAUACCGUUGACAGGCUGCUGUUUCUCGCACAAAAUCUUUGAACAAAGGAGGACACGCUUGUUGGUCUUCUAAUGUCUACCUCAAGACAGCAUUACUGUUUAUCAAAGUAAAAAAAUAGGGGGAAAAUGUUUGAGUUCUUAAACUAAGCACUUUAUUUUAUAAAGAUUUUUUUAAAGAUAUUUUUUUAUUUAUAUGUGCACCUUAUGGAGCUUUGUUUUCAAAAAGAAUACUCCUGUUAUACACUAUGUAUGUUUACAUAUUAUUAUUUGAAUGGCUGAGCAUUUGUUUAUUGUUUAAUUUAUUAUUCAUUCAUUUUUAUUUAUUUGAUUUUGCAACUCCUUACUGAAAUAGCUGGUUACAAUUAAACGACUAAUGACAUGUCAUAUUUGGCUUUGACAUUUGCGUUCAGGUUUUCUUCCCUUUAAUGUGGAGAAAAUAUUGGGAUAUAUACCGUAUAUCGAUAUCCAGCCAAAAUAUAAAGCCUAAAAUCCAAAUGUGCAGAACUAAGUAGCUAUGCAGCUACUUUUCUUGCACAAAUGGACUCGGCUUCAAAUGCAACUUUAAGUGAUGUCCAAAGGAGUGUUACUUGCACCAAAGAACUAUUGGACAGGACAGUAGAUAGCCUUCAAGCAUCUACCACUUCAUUGCUAAGGACUUAUUCAAUCCCACAAGACAAUGAGAAUGUUGUUUUAUUAAUGAAAGACUUUGAAAGUUCCCAAAAUGUAUUUAAUGAUUUGGACAACCCCUAUAAAAUGGUAAAAUAUUUUGAAGAUAAGUAUUCUCUUGUGAAGCUAACAGAAAUCUUCCUAGGCCAUAGAGCUGACACCACAAAAAGACGGAUUUGUCAAACAAUCACUAACUGCUAAUACCUUUCAGUAUAUUUCCAUUCUUGACACUUAAAUUUAUAGAAAACGCAGACCUUGUAUUUGCAAUCUCACAAGAGUACAGAUGGAAAGAUGUGGGAUUACUGUGACGGGGCUAACUUUGCCAGUCAUGACUUCUACAAAAAGCAUCCAAAUGCACUACAGAUUCAACUUUACUUUGAUGAUGUGGAAACCACAAAUUUUCUGGGGUCAAAAACUAAGAUUCAAAGAAUGGGUGCUGUGUAUUUCUCCUUAAGAAACCUGCCGCCUCAGUACAACUCAAGCUUAGCAAAUAUCCAUCUCUGCCUUCUGUUCAAUUCCAUUGACCAAGAAACAUAUGGUUCUGGAAAGAUACUGGAACCACUCCUGGAUGACAUUAGAUUUCUGGAAUGUCAUGGUAUAGAGAUUGAGAUGAAAGAAGAAUUGCACUUCUUGUUUGGAACAGUAUGUCUGUUAACAGGUGACAAUUUAGCAAUUCAUUCAUUAUGUGGUUAUAUGGAAAGCUUUUCUGCCAACAAGUUCUGCCAUAUUUGCAUUGUUCAUAAGAAUAUCUCACAAAUGGUAUUUGAUGAAAACAACUUUGAAAGACAAACAGAGACAAUUACCAACACCAUGUUGCUUUAAAUGAUGGAACUGUAACAGGAAUCAAAGAAGAUUCAUGCUUGAAUACUCUACAGUACUUUCAUGUAACAGAAAAUGUGGGGGUUGACAUAAUGCACGAUGUCCUUGGAGGAGUGGCACCUUUAGAGGUCAAACUACUACUUUGACAAUUCAACAUUUAUGAGGAAAAACUAUUGAGCCUGGAACAAUUAAAUAAAAGAAUAGUCAGCUUUAUGUGUAUUCAAAUGAGGAAGAAAAAAAAACAGCGCCAUCAUCAGACUGCAAUUAGACAGACCGCAGCACAAAUGUGGUGUCUCAUACAAGUUUUACCUUUCCUACUUGGGGACUUGGUGAAUCCAGAGAGCCUUCACUGGCAAUUAUUUGUAUUGCUUCGUGAAAUAUGCAGUAUAAUUUUUGCACCUAUUGUAACAACUGGACUUGAAGUGUAUUUAAAGCAGCUUAUUAUAGACCAUCAUAAACUAAAGAAAUCUAUCCAGACAGAACACUGAUCCCUAAACACCAUUUUAUGACACAUUAUCCUAGCAUGAUGGUUUUAUUUGGACCAUUAUCCAAACUAUGGUGUAUGCCGUUUGAAGCAAAGCACAACUCUCUGAAAAGACAAGCACAUGUUGUCUGCAAUUUUAAGUAUAUAUCAAAGACACUGGCCUACAAAAACCAAGUUCAGCAAAUGCAUUGCUGGAGAUUCGGACAACCACUGGGUAACAAAAUGAGUGUCACAAAUGCUUGUCCAGUUAUUCUCGGAUCCCUAGACAAUGGUGAACAGUUGAUUGAUCAUCUCAGGUCAACACUUAAUGAGGACUUUUCAGAAAUGAUGUGCGUUUCAUACAGAACAGGGACAGUUGUUGUAAUGUCAGCAGACACUGAUGAACCAGCCUUAGGAGAAAUAGUUCAUCUUCUCCCACAGGUAGACAAAGGCACUGCUGUAGCUUUUCUAUGGGUUGUAAAUAUGAACUUUUUUGAUGACCACAUGUAUGUUUAUGCUGUUGAAAGAGUUGAUGAGUUCAAACUUGUAAGGAUUCCUUGUGAUUGGUCUGAUUUUAGACCGCUUGAGUUUUAUACAGGUUUUAGAGGAAAUUAGAUUUUAUGAAAUGUUGACUAAAUUUUAAGGGGAAAAUCAGAUCCCAAGUUGUAUAUUUUGUAGUCCUGAUGUUUUGUUUCUAAUGAAUUCAAAAAUGUAAUGUUGACUAAAUGUCAAGAUGUGUAGAAAAAUACAUUUCUCAAAAUAAUUAGUGGCAUAUUAAUUUGAAUUCAGUGUAAAAUAAUAUGCUUCAUUUGUAUGACAUUUCUAAUAAUUGCACAAUUUAAUGUAAACACAUAACUUAGUAUUUACACAGCAAUACACAUCUAUGUGUUAAUCCGUUUUGCACAGAAAGUGUGUUCAUAUCCUUGACACACAAGUAUUGUCCCAAAUACAACUCAUUGAUGUGUAGGAAAUUAACACAGCUUGUGUGAAUUUUGACACAUCCUUUUUAAGAGUGUGUGUGUAUACUAUAUGUAUGUAUGUAUCUGCGCACUGUAAUACGCGUUUGUGUAUUUGACGUCCUGCU